UACAGAGGUCUCAAGCGUUGUUCGGAUUCAUUGGGCGUAAAGGGUGCGUAGGCGGCGCGGUAAGUCGGGUGUGAAAUCUCGGGGCUUAACUCCGAAACUGCAUUCGAUACUGCCGUGCUUGAGGACUGGAGAGGAGACUGGAAUUUACGGUGUAGCGGUGAAAUGCGUAGAUAUCGUAAGGAAGACCAGUGGCGAAGGCGGGUCUCUGGACAGUUCCUGACGCUGAGGCACGAAGGUCAGGGGAGCAAACGGA
rnacentral:rRNA from 1 species